AACGAACGCUGGCGGCAUGCCUAACACAUGCAAGUCGAACGAACCCUUCGGGGUUAGUGGCGCACGGGUGCGUAACGCGUGGGAAUCUGCCCUUUGCUUCGGAAUAACAGUUAGAAAUGACUGCUAAUACCGGAUAAUGUCGCAAGACCAAAGAUUUAUCGGCAAAGGAUGAGCCCGCGUAAGAUUAGCUAGUUGGUGGGGUAAUGGCCUACCAAGGCGACGAUCUUUAGCUGGUCUGAGAGGAUGAUCAGCCGCACUGGGACUGAGACACGGCCCAGACUCCUACGGGAGGCAGCAGUGGGGAAUAUUGGACAAUGGGCGAAAGCCUGAUCCAGCAAUGCCGCGUGAGUGAUGAAGGCCUUAGGGUUGUAAAGCUCUUUUACCAGGGAUGAUAAUGACAGUACCUGGAGAAUAAGCUCCGGCUAACUCCGUGCCAGCAGCCGCG
rnacentral:rRNA from 1 species